UUUUUUUUUUUUUUUAAGAUUGAUUGAUUGAUUAUAGAGAGCAUGAGCAGGAGGGGCAGAGGGAGAAGGAGAAAGAAUCUUAAGCAGACUCCACACUAAGUGGGGACCCUGAUGCAGGCCUCAGUCUAAUGACUCUGAGAUCAUUACCUGAGUUGAAACCAAAAGUCACCUCUCAACUGAUUGUGCCACCCAGAGGCCUCCAGAGUUGAGGUAACAUUUUAAAAGUAGAUCCCGCAAGAUUUACUGAUGGAUUAGAGAUAGUUCAAGAAAGAGGAGGGACUCCUGGGUGGCUCAAUGGUUGAGCAUCUGCCUUCGGCUCAGGGUGUGAUUCUGGGGUCUGAGGAUUGAGUCCCACAUUGGGCUCCCUGCGAGGAGCCUGCCUCUCCCUCUGCCUAUGUCUCUGCCUCUGUAUCUCUCAUGAAUAAAUAAAUACAAUCUUAAAAAAAAAAAAAAAAAAGGAAUCAAGGGUGAUUGGAGUUUUUGGAAUGGUGUCACCAUUAUAAUUACAAAAGUAAAGUACAUGUCUGAGGCCAGUGCAGCUCAAGAGGCUCAUAGUUAAGUGCCCAACAGUAUUUAAUAUGGGACCUGAGCUUGUCUAGGCUCCUGAGAAGUGACAAUGAGAGCUAUGGCCAGAAGAACAUAGGAGUCAGCUAAAAGAAUGGGGGAGGCAAGAAGAGUGGUUCUGGUCAAGAAGCAAGUGCACAGGAUGAGUAAGAAUUUUCCUCAGACAGAAGGAAAGUUGGUGUGUGGAGUUGAGAAGGGUCUCCUGGGUCAAGACAAUGUCAGAGAGGUGGGGUGAGGGGACUGAACUUGAUCCUGAGAGCACUGAGAGCCAAAGGAAAGUUGUAAGUCAGGGAGUUUUAUGCCCCCUUAGAGCCCUCAAAACAAAACACCCUGUGUGGAGAAAGUUCUGGAGGGAAGCAAAGUGGAAACCUGAAGACCAGUGAAGAAAUCAUGGUUUGGUUAAGGCUCUGGUUCUCAGGGUGGGCAGGCCAGGUGUCUCUUGUGGGUCACCAUUCCUGGGCAUGUGACUGGGCAAGUUACCUAUCCUCUCUAAGCUCCAACUUUCCCCUAUAAAUGGGAUUGAUGGCAGUGCCCAUCUCACGCGAUUGUGGUCAAGAUUGAAUGAAAUAACCCAACAGAGCUUGGGGGAGGGCUGGAUGGGGAGGCACGGCAGCAAUGACCGCACCAUCGGGCUGGUUCCCCCGGAGGUGGAAGGAGGGGCUCCCCACAGACUCCCACUUGGAGCAGCCAGAAGACUGGGAGGGGUCUGGGGAAGCGAGCGAGGAUUUCAGAGGCGGGCACUCGGGUCAGGGGCGGAGCUGGAGGCGGGAGGCUGCCUCGGACGCUCGGCCCUGCCCGCCUUUAGGAGCGGGCUUGACUGCCCCCUGGUGGCUGGAGGGGGGAACCUGAAGCGACGCCACUGUCGCUGGCCUCUCCCGCGGGCCAGUCUUUGGUGUGUGGCCCGGCUCACGAGAGGGACCUCCACACUUCCAAUCCUUGGGUAGUGGAUUCAGAGCUUGCCUCUGCUCUCCUGGGACUAGGGUCAUCAUUCUUCUUAGUUCAACACCAAAGUCUCCAGCCUUUCCCUCCACCCGAGCCCCGCAAUGCUGCCCUUGCCCUUGCCCUUGCCCUUUAACCUUAGCCACUUGAGCCACUCUUCAGAUUUUUGAUCCUUCUGGAAACAUCUUUUCACAUACGGGCAAAUACAUAGAUAUAAGUAUAUUUUGAUCCUCGUGGCCUCCCCCUGCCUUUUCUUAAACAAAUGGUAACCACCACUCUGCCUUGCCUUUUCCCCCUAAAUAAUGUAUCUUCUAGAACUUUUCCUACUCAUACAUGAAUCUCUGUGUACCAUCGGGUACCUUCAACAGUUAUCAACACUCAUGGCAGCUUCAUUAUUUUUUCUAGCUGUGUAGUAUUCUAACCAGAAUCUUAACUCAGUGAUUUCCAACCUUAACACAUGCACAUGCAUAAAAUAUUGGAAUUGCACACUGAAGGAAAGUUUUUGGAAGGGCUUUCAGACUGCCUACAUGAGUACUGGGGGAAAAUCCAUUCCAUUUCAAUAUACUAUUUUUACGAUGAGAAAAAUGAAAUACAACAUACUUCAUAAUGAAGUAUUAACUUUGAAACAAUGCAUAUUUUAUAUAAGCUUUUAUAUAGUAAGCUUAUCCCCCAUCAAGGCUUAUUAAUGAUGACUUCUUCAAAUUUUGGUGGUCAGCAUCAACAAGAGACUUCAUAGUCACAAGUAGGUGAUAAAAAUUUUAACCAUCCCAAAGCUUACAAUUGAAAUUAUAUUUAAAUGUUCCAACAGUUCUUCCCUUUAUUUAAUUGACAAAUAUAAUGUAUUCAAGUGGAUUUCAAAUCCAAAUGAACUUUUUCAUUUCAGGUAUUCUAAAUUAAGUUCCAGAAUACAGGAAAUGAUAUAAAGCUUUCGAGUCCUUUCUUCUUCUUCUUCUUCUUCUUCUUCUUCUUCUUCUUCUUCUUCUUCUUCUUCUUUCUUCUUUCUUCUUUCUUCUUUCUUCUUCUUUCUUCUUCUUCUUCUCUCUUCUCCUUCUUCUCUUCUCUCCUUCUCCUUCUCCUUCUCCUUCUUUUCUUUUUUUAGAAAAUUAUAACUUAUUAAACCUGGGCAAGGCCAAAUAGCACACAGGAAGAGGGGAAAGGAAGGAGAGAAAGAACAAGAAGGAAAGAAAGGGACAGACUUUGUAGUAAGACCACUUAAAUUUCAUAAGAAUUCACAAGGUCUUUUACAUGAAAUUAUUCAAGCUAAUGAUUCAUGUGUGAACCUAC
rnacentral:lncRNA from 1 species